CUCCAUCAUUUCUCACUUUCACCUCUUUCUUUCUCUAUCUCUGGUGUCUCAUGUCAAUCUUUCACCCUUUCUCCACACAACCUCCCAUACCUUUUUACUAUGUUCUCCAGUUUUCCUCUCAGUUAUAUAUCACAAACUUAAAGGGAACAAGCCAUCUGAAGCGCUUACCAAAUUUAGUAUCAUGUUGUACCAAAUUUUGUAUCAAAUCUUGCACCAAAUUAAAAUUUAUUUCCAACUAUUACACUAAAUGAACG
rnacentral:lncRNA from 1 species